CCUACGGGGGGCUGCAGUGGGGAAUAUUGGACAAUGGGCGAAAGCCUGAUCCAGCCAUGCCGCGUGUGUGAAGAAGGCCUUCGGGUUGUAAAGCACUUUCAGUGGGGAAGAAAGCCUUGGGGCUAAUACCCUCGAGGAAGGACAUCACCCACAGAAGAAGCACCGGCUAACUCCGUGCCAGCAGCCGCGGUAAUACGGAGGGUGCGAGCGUUAAUCGGAAUUACUGGGCGUAAAGCGCGCGUAGGCGGUCUGAUAAGCCGGUUGUGAAAGCCCCGGGCUCAACCUGGGAACGACAUCCGGAACUGUCAGGCUAGAGUGCAGGAGAGGAAGGUAGAAUUCCCGGUGUAGCGGUGAAAUGCGUAGAGAUCGGGAGGAAUACCAGUGGCGAAGGCGGCCUUCUGGACUGACACUGACGCUGAGGUGCGAAAGCGUGGGUAGCAAACAGGAUUAGAUACCCGAGUAGUC
rnacentral:rRNA from 1 species